ACACUCCUACGGGAGGCAGCAGUGGGGAAUAUUGCACAAUGGGCGCAAGCCUGAUGCAGCCAUGCCGCGUGUAUGAAGAAGGCCUUCGGGUUGUAAAGUACUUUCAGCGGGGAGGAAGGCAAUACGGUUAAUAACCGUGUUGAUUGACGUUACCCGCAGAAGAAGCACCGGCUAACUCCGUGCCAGCAGCCGCGGUAAUACGGAGGGUGCAAGCGUUAAUCGGAAUUACUGGGCGUAAAGCGCACGCAGGCGGUCUGUCAAGUCGGAUGUGAAAUCCCCGGGCUCAACCUGGGAACUGCAUUCGAAACUGGCAGGCUUGAGUCUUGUAGAGGGGGGUAGAAUUCCAGGUGUAGCGGUGAAAUGCGUAGAGAUCUGGAGGAAUACCGGUGGCGAAGGCGGCCCCCUGGACAAAGACUGACGCUCAGGUGCGAAAGCGUGGGGAGCAAACAGGAUUAGAAACCCGAGUAGUCCCAUGA
rnacentral:rRNA from 1 species